GUAAUAUCUUCCUAAAAAAUGCAGUUAAUUUGAUUUCACCUUGGCUCUCACUUUCGUUCCUCUCUUCUUCGUCCCUGAACACUGCCUCCGUCUCUUCUCGCGUUCGCUGCUUCUUCUUUGCCAAAACCUACAUCUUCUUCGUUGCCUCAAACACCCAACCUCAUCUUCGUUCCAACCUUUUUCACCGAUUAAAUCUCUUCCUACCUCGAACCCUAGAAUCUCCACCGAACAAACCUUCGAAUCUAGGGUUCGCCUUUGAUUUCACCGUCUUCCACUGUGUCCUUGUUCGCCGACUAGAUUUUACACCGCAAAAGAAGCUUUUGAACAACAUUGACCAAUUUCGGGAGGUCGUGCUUGAAGAAUUGAAGAAGCUGAAACGAACUCCCAAUGCGAAGAAAGUAGAGAGGGAAAAAAGUGUGCGUACUUUUGGAAGGUUCCUUGCCUUUACUAAUAGAUGCCACAAAAAGCUGCUGAUAAAGACCGAAAAAUACUGUAAUUAACUUCAUUCGAUUCCCGAGUGCUCAGCUCACAAAAGCAUAUCAAACGGCUGCUAUUUUAUUUGAGGUAUUGAAGGCAGUUAAUUGAACGGAAGAUGUUCCAGUAUCUGAAGAGAUUAUGCAAUCCCAUACCAAGGUUGAGGAACAGAAGCAAUUAUAUUCCCCUUAUAAUAUUUUGCCACUUGAUCCAGAGAGUGGAAAAGAGGCUAUAAUGAAAUAUCAUGAGAUUCAAGCUGCGGUUUUGGCACUCCAUAAUAUAAGGGGUUUGCCUUGGACAAAGGGUCAUGCUAAUAAAGUAAAUGAAGACAUUCUAGACUGGCUUUAAUUGAUGUUUGGUUUCCAGAAGGACAAUGUGGAAAAUCAAAGGGAGCACUUGAUUCUUUUGCUUGCGAAUGUACAUAUUCAACAAGUUCCAAAACCUGAUCAACAACCUAAGCUUAUUCAAUUAAGGUUGCCAACUAUUCAGCAGGAAAUGCAACAGCGCAAAUUAUUAUACAUGGGCCUAUAUCUUCUUAUAUGGGGAGAAACUGCAAAUUUGAGGUAUAUUGCACACUAUUAAAAAUUGGCUUAUGAACCCCACAAAACCUGCGUAUGAGGUAAUGACUAUAUCCAAGAAAUUUUAACCUUUAUUUAAGUCAUAUCCUAGGUUGAUGUGGGACUAAACCACCACCAACUUUCAAGCACAUACUUGCAUGAGGUUAUUUUGGUAGUUCAGAAUUUUAAUAAUCUUUCGUUUUAUGAUAUAAAAUCAAUUUUCUGAUGUUUAAUUUGACUAUUAAAAUAAUUGUGAACAAAAUCUAAGCAUAAUUUUUUUUCAUCUGCCUAAAUGGCAUUUGAGUUACAUGGGAUGCUAGCCGGGAAUGUUAGUCCACUGACUGGUGAACCAGUAAAGCCUGCCUAUGGUGGUGAAAAUAAGGCUUUUCUUAUGAAAGUGGUAAAAGCAAUUUAUGAUGUAAUAGCCAAGGAAGCUAAGAGGAGUAAUAUGGGAAAAGCAAAGCAUUCUCAAUGUCAAUUGAUUGUUUUCGGUUAGGGUGGCCCGUGCAUGUUGACUCUGAUUUCUUCUAUGUGCUUUUUCGUCGGGAACAACGUCAAGUUAACAAAGACGAGGAAAACAGAGUUCGCGUGACAGACCGGUGGAGUGGAAAAGUUAAUUUUGUUGAAAUACGCACAUUUUGUAAUGUUUUUAGAAGUUUCGAUAGAAUGUGGAGCUUUUAUAUACUCUGUUUACAGGAUAGAUCAGAUUUUAAAGAAGGGAAGAUUAGAUGGAUAGAACUAGUUGAAGAUGUUGAGGAUAUUGUUACAAAGAUAGUUAAUUUGGUAACAGAGGAGCUUGCUAACGAGAUAAUUUCUUCUUGAAAUCUUUGAAAGAUUGUAGUUGUGAGAAUUUGAAUCAGUGUAUAGUUUCAUUAAGUGGAUUUUGAGAUGUUUGUGGAGUCAAUUUUAAGAAUUUGAAUUAGGACAUAGGUAUUUGAAGAGUUUGAGAUAACAUAUAGGUAAAGAUUUGAUAUUCUUUUAUACAAAAA